rnacentral:rRNA from 1 species
UACGUAGGGGGCAAGCGUUGUCCGGAUUUAUUGGGCGUAAAGAGCGUGUAGGCGGUUUGGUAGGUCCGCUGUGAAGACUCGAGGCUCAACCUCGAGACGCCGGUGGAAACCAUCAGACUAGAGUCCGGAAGAGGAGAGUGGAAUUCCUGGUGUAGCGGUGAAAUGCGCAGAUAUCAGGAGGAACACCAGAGGCGAAAGCGGCGACCUGGAUAGGUACUGACACUCAACUACGAAAGCGUGGGGAGCAAACAGG